rnacentral:rRNA from 1 species
AUGAACGCUAGCUACAGGCUUAACACAUGCAAGUCGAGGGGCAGCAUUUCAGUUUGCUUGCAAACUGGAGAUGGCGACCGGCGCACGGGUGAGUAACACGUAUCCAACCUGCCGAUAACUCGGGGAUAGCCUUUCGAAAGAAAGAUUAAUACCCGAUGGUAUAAUCAGACCGCAUGGUCUUGUUAUUAAAGAAUUUCGGUUAUCGAUGGGGAUGCGUUCCAUUAGGCAGUUGGUGAGGUAACGGCUCACCAAACCUUCGAUGGAUAGGGGUUCUGAGAGGAAGGUCCCCCACAUUGGAACUGAGACACGGUCCAAACUCCUACGGGAGGCAGCAGUGAGGAAUAUUGGUCAAUGGGCGCAGGCCUGAACCAGCCAAGUAGCGUGAAGGAUGACUGCCCUAUGGGUUGUAAACUUCUUUUAUAUGGGAAUAAAGUUUUCCACGUGUGGAAUUUUGUAUGUACCAUAUGAAUAAGGAUCGGCUAACUCCGUGCCAGCAGCCGCGGUAAUACGGAGGAUCCGAGCGUUAUCCGGAUUUAUUGGGUUUAAAGGGAGCGUAGGUGGACAGUUAAGUCAGUUGUGAAAGUUUGCGGCUCAACCGUAAAAUUGCAGUUGAUACUGGCUGUCUUGAGUACAGUAGAGGUGGGCGGAAUUCGUGGUGUAGCGGUGAAAUGCUUAGAUAUCACGAAGAACUCCGAUUGCGAAGGCAGCUCACUGGACUGCAACUGACACUGAUGCUCGAAAGUGUGGGUAUCAAACAGGAUUAGAUACCCUGGUAGUCCACACAGUAAACGAUGAAUACUCGCUGUUUGCGAUAUACAGUAAGCGGCCAAGCGAAAGCAUUAAGUAUUCCACCUGGGGAGUACGCCGGCAACGGUGAAACUCAAAGGAAUUGACGGGGGCCCGCACAAGCGGAGGAACAUGUGGUUUAAUUCGAUGAUACGCGAGGAACCUUACCCGGGCUUAAAUUGCAGUGGAAUGAUGUGGAAACAUGUCAGUGAGCAAUCACCGCUGUGAAGGUGCUGCAUGGUUGUCGUCAGCUCGUGCCGUGAGGUGUCGGCUUAAGUGCCAUAACGAGCGCAACCCUUAUCUUUAGUUACUAACAGGUCAUGCUGAGGACUCUAGAGAGACUGCCGUCGUAAGAUGUGAGGAAGGUGGGGAUGACGUCAAAUCAGCACGGCCCUUACGUCCGGGGCUACACACGUGUUACAAUGGGGGGUACGGAAGGCAGCUACCUGGUGACAGGAUGCUAAUCCCAAAAGCCUCUCUCAGUUCGGAUCGAAGUCUGCAACCCGACUUCGUGAAGCUGGAUUCGCUAGUAAUCGCGCAUCAGCCACGGCGCGGUGAAUACGUUCCCGGGCCUUGUACACACCGCCCGUCAAGCCAUGAAAGCCGGGGGUACCUGAAGUACGUAACCGCAAGGAGCGUCCUAGGGUAAAACUGGUAAUUGGGGCU